AGCCCCCCUCAAGAUGAGAUUUCCCAAUUAGUAAGACCCCUUGAAGACGACGAGGUAGAUAGGUUGGAGGUGGAAGUGCAGCAAUGCAUGGAGCUGACCAAUACUAAUCGGUCGAGGGCUUAUCCAAG
rnacentral:rRNA from 1 species